rnacentral:lncRNA from 1 species
CCAACGCCAUCUCCCAAUCUUGAAUUCCUUGUAUUCGAAGCAGAGGAAGAUGAUGUUGAAGGGGAUUCCUGAUGAGAUCACCCGACUUCUUGAGCACGAAAAGGAGCUCAUUCAGCUGUAUCAUGAGAAUCAGCAAACCAGUCAAACUGGGGCAUUACAAAUGUAAUGUAAAAAAAAGAGGGUGAAAAAGAUGAAAAAAAUCAAAAGUCAGGAAAAAAUUUUCAAAAUUUUUUCAAAAGAAAAAAGGAAAAAUUAUACCCUCAAAUCCCUAGUU